AAUAGAUACCCUGGUAGUCCACGCCGUAAACGAUGAGUGCUAAGUGUUAGGGGGUUUCCGCCCCUUAGUGCUGCAGCUAACGCAUUAAGCACUCCGCCUGGGGAGUACGGUCGCAAGACUGAAACUCAAAGGAAUUGACGGGGGCCCGCACAAGCGGUGGAGCAUGUGGUUUAAUUCGAAGCAACGCGAAGAACCUUACCAGGUCUUGACAUCCCGCUGACCGUUCUAGAGAUAGAUCUUUCCCUUCGGGGACAGCGGUGACAGGUGGUGCAUGGUUGUCGUCAGCUCGUGUCGUGAGAUGUUGGGUUAAGUCCCGCAACGAGCGCAACCCUUGAUCUUAGUUGCCAGCAUUCAGUUGGGCACUCUAAGGUGACUGCCGGUGAUAAACCGGAGGAAGGUGGGGAUGACGUCAAAUCAUCAUGCCCCUUAUGACCUGGGCUACACACGUGCUACAAUGGACGGUACAGAGGGUCGCAACCCCGCGAGGGUGAGCUAAUCCCAUAAAACCGUUCUCAGUUCGGAUUGUAGGCUGCAACUCG
rnacentral:rRNA from 1 species